GGUGAGAUGGCCGAGCGGUCUAAGGCGCCAGACUAAGGAUAGACUAGGGCAGUUGCUGUCUGAGACAUCUGGUCUCUUCGGGGGCGCGAGUUCGAAUCUCGCUCUCAUCA